rnacentral:rRNA from 1 species
AGUGAACGCUGGCGGCGUGCUUAACACAUGCAAGUCGAACGAGAACGGAUUAUAGCUUGCUAUAAUUGUCAGCUAAGUGGCGCACGGGUGAGUAAUGUAUAGGUAGUAUGCCUCUUACUAAGGGAUAACAAAUGGAAACGUUUGCUAAUACCUUAUACUCCUUAUUAACAGAAGUUAAUAAGGGAAAUAUUUAUUGGUAAGAGAUUAGCCUGUAUUGUAUCAGUUAGUUGGUGGGGUAAUGGAUUACCAAGACUAUGAAACAUAGCUGGUUUGAAAGGAUGAUCAGACACAGUGGAACUGAGACACGGUCAGACUCCUACGGGAGGCAGCAGUGGGGAAUAUUGCACAAUGGACGAAAGUCUGAUGCAGCAACGCCGCGUGGAGGAUGACACAUUUCGGUGCGUAAACUCCUUUUAUAUGAGAAGAUAAUGACGGUAUUACAUGAAUAAGCACCGGCUAACUCCGUGCCAGCAGCCGCCGUAACAC